rnacentral:rRNA from 1 species
GAGUUUGAUCGUGGCUCAGAUUGAACGCUGGCGGCAUGCCUAACACAUGCAAGUCGAACGGCAGCACGGGGGCAACCCUGGUGGCGAGUGGCGGACGGGUGAGGAAUACAUAGGAAUCUGCCCAGUCGUGGGGGAUAACGUAGGGAAACUUACGCUAAUACCGCAUACGACCGAGAGGUGAAAGCGGGGGACCGCAAGGCCUCGCGCGAUUGGAUGAGCCUAUGUCCGAUUAGCUAGUUGGCGGGGUAAGAGCCCACCAAGGCGACGAUCGGUAGCUGGUCUGAGAGGAUGAUCAGCCACACUGGGACUGAGACACGGCCCAGACUCCUACGGGAGGCAGCAGUGGGGAAUAUUGGACAAUGGGCGCAAGCCUGAUCCAGCAAUGCCGCGU